CAACUUAAAAGGCAAGGAAUGGUUCCACAGUUGCUACGAAGAAGUGAAUAAUGGUGAAUAUUUACUUAAAGUUUAAAAAAUCUGCUAGUGCAGCUGUUUUCUCCACAUAGCCAUGAGUGCAGAGAAAAUGGCUUAAUCUCCAACAGUGUUUGCUGAUCUGUGGCAGGGAAACAAGACUUCACAGUGCAGCAGGCAAGAUAGAAUCCAACAACAAAGCAAUUUUUUGGAUGGAUUCCAAGAAAAAAUGAACUCUUACCCAGCAGAUUUGGAGAUCACUACGUGAAUGAUGAAAGGAGAGCUGCAGAUCUCUGAGUGGAAUGAAUACUGAAUGUAGAAUAAAAACAGAUGAAUGUGGGAGACCUACGUCCAGGAUUUACCAGUCAAUUCUUCCUGAAGUCCAAGCCCUCCAAAGAAUGGGAAGAGGCACUCAUUCAGUCCAUGAUGAUACGUGGGGAAGAUCGACCUGGGACACUUGGUUACAAUGAUGACUGUAUGCGUGUGUGACAGACAGAGACAGAGAGAGAACUAAGGGAGAGAACGUGAGAAAACAGAAUUGCCAAUCAGAAUGGAGGGGGACAGUGAACUGUAGCAGAGAAAGAAAAGAAGUCAGUUUCGGAGCACCCACUCUGAACCAAGGCACACAGGUGUAGACCAACGAUCAUGUCUCUGUCCUCAUAUGAUCACCGCCUCCAUUCAGGCCGUUCAUUGAACUGGACCCGUUCCUCUGUCUCCAAGUCACUCAAGGUACUGUUGGUCUGUCUUGUCACAAUCAAAGUGCAAGUUGUCUCGGCCUGCAAAAGGUGAGGCAAGUUCUAAAAGAUGAAAAUAGGUAUGCAGGAUGAGGAUAGUUCCUGCGGCGUGAGAAGAAAAGAACAUCAGCGCAUGAACUGCCCGAGGCCAGCACCACGGCGUCUCUCUUACUCUUGGAAGGCUUUGAAAGGCAGCAGUGUGGAUCUCAAAAGGUGAAGGCCACAGGAGACUGGAAAACCUGGACGCAAUCCUUGAACUUUCCAUUGACGCCACCCAAUCUAAUGGCCAGGAGGCUGGAGUUCCAAGAAACAGACUCCAGGUCAUCAG